CACACGUGUUACAAUGGGGGGUACAGAGGGCCGCUACCACGCGAGUGGAUGCCAAUCCCCAAAACCUCUCUCAGUUCGGACUGGAGUCUGCAACCCGACUCCACGAAGCUGGAUUCGCUAGUAAUCGCGCAUCAGCCACGGCGCGGUGAAUACGUUCCCGGGCCUUGUACACACCGCCCGUCAAGCCAUGGGAGCCGGGGGUACCUGAAGUGCGUAACCGCGAGGAGCGCCCUAGGGUAAAACUGGUGACUGGGGCUAAGUCGUAACAAGGUACC
rnacentral:rRNA from 1 species